rnacentral:rRNA from 1 species
GAUGAGCGCUAGCGGCAGGCUUAAUACAUGCAAGUCGAGGGACAGCACAGGUAGCAAUACUGGGUGGUAACCGGCAAACGGGUGCGGAACACGUACACAACCUUCCUUUAAGUGGGGGAUAGCCCAGAGAAAUUUGGAUUAAUACCCCGUAAUAUAGUUGAAUGGCAUCAUUUGAUUAUUAUAGCUACGGCGCUUAAUGAAGGGUGUGCGGCUGAUUAGAUAGUUGGCGGGGUAACGGCCCACCAAGUCUACGAUCAGUAGCUGAUGUGAGAGCAUGAUCAGCCACACGGGCACUGAGACACGGGCCCGACUCCUACGGGAGGCAGCAGUAAGGAAUAUUGGUCAAUGGACGCAAGUCUGAACCAGCCAUGCCGCGUGAAGGAUUAAGGUCCUCUGGAUUGUAAACUUCUUUUAUUUGGGACGAAAAAGGGCCUUUCUAGGUCAACUGACGGUACCAGAUGAAUAAGCACCGGCUAACUCCGUGCCAGCCGCCGCGGUAACAC